UACGGAGGAUGCGAGCGUUAUCCGGAUUUAUUGGGUUUAAAGGGUGCGUAGGCGGACUGUCAAGUCAGCGGUAAAAUUGAGAGGCUCAACCUCUUCCUGCCGUUGAAACUGGUGGUCUUGAGUGGAUGAGAAGUACGCGGAAUGCGUGGUGUAGCGGUGAAAUGCAUAGAUAUCACGCAGAACUCCGAUUGCGAAGGCAGCGUACCGGCAUCCAACUGACGCUGAGGCGCGAAAGCGUGGGGAGCAAACAGG
rnacentral:rRNA from 1 species